GCCCGGGUAGUUUCAGUGGCAGAACGUCCCCUUGGUAAGGGGAAGGUCGCGGGUUCGAUUCCCGCUCCGGGCU
rnacentral:tRNA from 2 species